rnacentral:sRNA from 1 species
UUUGAUGGACAAACUGGCAGGAUUCUAAAUGAUGGGACAUGGGAGUACAAACCACCUACCACUAAAGACAUUCCCAUAGACUGGAGAGUCUAUCUUUUGCCAGACACACCCAAUCCUUCUGGCAUCCGAAGCUCAAAAGCUGUAGGUGAGCCAACCAUCUCAUUAGCUGUUGGUGCUCUUUUGGCCAAUAAACUGGCAGUGCAUUCAGCCCGCAAAGAUCUUUUUGGCGCAAAUGACUACAUUCCAUCUGUUUCUCCCUACACUGUGGAAAGAGUUCAACAAAGUGUUGGCCUUACAGCAGACAAGUUGACCUUCUAGGGUUCUCAAGGCCACUGGCUUGUUCUCUUGAUAUUUGCAACUCACUGACUAUGUUGUUAACUACAAAUUUUAUGGUUGUAAAUGUCUCAAUGCUCAUAGUGACUAGGUAUACAUUGAUAUUGGAAUUUUGCAAAUCUUGCAAUGUUUUUCUUUUUAGGAGGAAAUCCAUGGUUAAAUUUUUUUCUUUAAAAAUAGAAGAAAUAUAGUUCUAUGUGAAUAUAUAUAUUGUUAUUAUUAGGGUUCAAUAUUGCUCACCAAUCUGAUUCAUGCUUACUCGUGAUACACUCUUCAUGGGAUGCAGAAUCCAUAAACUGAGUUAAAUUUUAAUGAAAUUAUAAUCCAGUGAAGUAAAUAGCUAAAAACAAUAAUCCUCAGAAGUCACAAAAUAAAUUGCAAUCUCUGAUGAAUGUGUCUCACCCUCACUUUUUCCAGUCAUCCUCAAUACACAAAAAAUCUGCUACACUGUUGAAUAACUUUGCUCUCUCUCUUGCUACCUCACAUGUCCCUAAACAGACAAGUUUUGAAAAAGCAAAGUGAUGUCCUUAUUUGGACCAGUCAGCACUCAGUUAAGUGAGAGGGAAGUUUUUACAAUGAUUUCAGAAUGUUAAUCAAGUGGAUGGAUUGUUAUGCAAUCAAUGUCUUAGCAAUCUGUUUAUAAAAGAAAUAACCUUAACAAACAUUUAGAUAAAUAUGUUUCUAUCUCCAUAAGAAAAGUGCUUGGGUAUUUCACAAACUAGGUAUGUAGCAUAUUUUUAUUUCUCCCAAAGAAAAGGGCUUGACUAACUGGGUCUGGAAACAAUUGCAAACAAUUGUUGGAGUUACAGCUAUUUUAGUUAACUAUGGUAGCAACUGUUCAUAGUGUUUCAGCUUUCAGUGUGACUUCUCUACAAUAAAAUGUUCCAUGAAAAGAAUGGGCUCAUUGACAUAAGAUGUUUUAUAGAUUCAUGGCAUUGUUGUUACAAUCUUUUUUGUGUGUAAUUUUUUUGUUUAUUUUAUUAUUAUUGAAGAGAGAAAAAUAUUUUUUUAAUAUUU